AGUAGUAUAGUAGAAUAAAAAUCUAUAAAAAAUAAUAUUAUAUUUGAUAUUAAGUAGUUUUUGCUUAUUCCCGCGUGUACUUAAUUUUCACCCGCGUAUAUACUGCGAAAUUUAGAAGCCACAACUAUAAAAUAGACACUGCGUAAGUUAGAAGCCACCACCUUUCAAAAACUAUAAAAGAGACACCGUGUAAUGUAGAAGUCACCACCUUGCUGCUACUAACUCUUCCGGCGACGAUUCCCGACAAAAAACCCAUAAACCCUAAAUCAACUUUCGCCGCCGAUCAAUCUUCUCAAGAAAAAAUCAAGAACUUCUGAUGCAUGUUUUAAGCGACAGUGUGAGGCUAUUUGGAGCGCAGUUUGGUCACGGUUCUCUUGUAUUGACGACUUCUGAUUAAACCCCUAAACCUUGAAUCAAUUUUCCAGUCAUUCUAUCUGCUCUAGUAAUACUACUGCACUUCCCAUCAAAAAAAUAAAAGGGAAGUUUGAGAACUCACUAUUGUAAGAUUAUCUUUGAAUUCUUGCAUGAAUUCUCUGUAAAAAUAAAGAAAUUCAAGAUCUUGCUUUCUGAAUUAUAUUGUUAUUUGUGUUGUCAUUCUCGCAUUGUAUUGUCUAGACUAAUGAUUUUGAUUGUUUCUUUUAAGUUGAAAUUGUGCUAUGUAAGAGAAUGGGAAUUAUAUGUUCUCUGCUUUUGUUAUUUGAGAUGGCCUUUUUGAUCUCAUUCGUAUUCCAAGUUCGAAUUUCAGCCUGCCUUCCACAGAAUAUAAAAUAGAGGCAAGCUGCUGCGAAAAUGGCAAGUCGUGCUGUUAUGCAGUUUAAUCGCUUAGAUUAGUUGCUCAAACUCUUCAGUGAAUUCUUAUGUUGCUUCAUUUGCUACUUCUGAUAUUGAGGGCAUAUGUUUUACAUCAAAAUUGAUAUACAUUUUCUCUUCUUAGUAUGAUGUUCCAUUCUAGUGUUAUAACUUUUUUUUUUCCAAAUGAAUAUAUAUAACAGCUUAUUUCUUUUUGCCAUGAGAUUUGCUUCCCUAUAGGUCUGUUCUUUUAAUGUUUGUUAUUCUUAUGGUAAUCUUUUUGCAAAAUGUUGGACUGACAUCAUCUUUUCUAUUUUAGUGAUGCUGUUGUACGUAAUUUGUUUUGCCUGACAACUAUGAUGUUCAUAACUUGGAAUGAUAGUUGUAAUCUAUAGGAUUGCUUGCAUGCAUUUCUUAACUGAUAGGCUGUUUGAUGGUCUGCGUUCAUUAUUAUCUCUUUACAGAUGUUCUUUUAUUUAUUGUUAUGUGGUUUUACUUGUAAAUGGGCUAACUUGUAUGGCUGUACACAACACCAAAUAUUGAUGCUUACAUUUUGGUUUUACUUGUAUUAUAAGUUGUUCAUGUACAUUGCCUUCCUGGUGCUUCAUUUGCAAUAAGUACUUUCUUUACCUGAACCGUCUCCCCAAAAGAAAACCGGUAACUUGAGGGAGGUGGGGUGGGGUGGAGAGAGACAUGAAAUAUGUUUUCGUUGAUCACUAUUGUAUGUAGAGAUGUAUGAUUAUUUAUUCUUGCUAAAGUUGAGACGGAACAUAAAUAUUGGUGCUUAGGUACUUUAAGGUCCGCUAAAAAGACAGUAUAAGUGCCUGUUCCUUUCAUCUUCUAUCAUGCUUCAUUUUUUUCUGGCCAUUUUAACUACGGUUUUGGCCAUCAAAUCUGCCCAGGUAACUCAAACAAUUACCUAGUGAUUCAAUUAACAUUGCCCCUCACCUUAACCCUUUUUUGUGGUAGCUGAAUGCAAGGUAGUUUUAGGUAGCAUUUGUUAAAAUUAGGCCAACUAUAUUCGAGUCUGAAUUAGAAAUGUAGGAUUGUUCUGUUCUGUAUAUUGGAGUUGCUGUCUAGUAGUUGUAACUCUGGAGCAUUCACCAUAUAUGUACACGAGCGACAUCAAAAUACAGCCGGAUGAUAUGCAUGCUUUCCUAGCAAGUUUUGGCUUUAAAGAAGAGGCUUGGAGCUCUAUUUCUGACGAUUCUUUGUUGGAAAUUGUUACUAAAACUCAUGGGAGGCCAAAUGGAUAUCGUAAGGUUUUGAAGCCAUUGUUUACAGAACGACAAGUGUUUGUACCUUGGAAUUGAUGAUUGUUGGCAGGAUUUUUGUACAACAGCUUGAAGGAAGCAAAUGCACUCCAACCCAAAGAAGGUCUUGCAUUGGUCUUGCAUGCUCUGAAAAAGUCUCUGCUAAGAAUCGCCCUUGUGCAUCCCAGUGUCUCCUUCAAAAUUGUUGAUAUUGAAAGCGAGGAUGACCUGCUUUGCACACAUGCUUCUCCUUCUCCGUUGCUGGUAUUGUCCAGUGAGUUUGGAAAUCAUCUGAGUUCCCUUAACAAUUUGAAUGCAAGUGAUGGUUCAUUCAAGCUCUCAGGCUACAUUUCAGGUCUGAUGUUUACACAAUGAAGGUCCUUCAAUAUUUCUGUAUCCACUUGCUACUAGUAUAUUUUCCUGACCAAAAAAAAAAAAAAACGGAAGACCAAUCUUUGGUUAGCAUUUUCUAUAUCAGAUGCCUGUUUUACGGUGUUUUUGUUUUCCUUGACCUCCGUAAUGCAAAUAUUAGUUCAAGAUUUGUUUCCAAAGGACCAAUACAUAAAUUACUUAAUAACACAACUAUGAGUUUUGACAGUGCUUCUUACAUUGAGAAGUGAAGUAGAUCCCAGAUAUAUCCACAGGUUAUGUUGAACCUAAAUUGUCCAACAUCUUUAUAUGAUUUUACUUUGGAGCCUUCAAAGACCUCUGUGGAAUUUAAGGUUCAUAUGUACUGGUCAUAACAAACAGUGAAUGUGUUGGAUCUACUUCGGGCACCCUAAAGUUUCAUCGAUGAAUUUUUUCCUUGCGAUCAGUCUCUCAAGAACUCUGCUGCUGUAUAGAAAAAUAUGGAGGCUCAGUUUUCUGUACUGCUUAAAGUCGCUGAGAAGACUCCCGGUCUAUACUUCUCUUAUGAUGCCUAUAUAACACUGAGAGCAUGCUAGGUCUGAAAAUGCUUGAAUUUCAACUGAGAAGGCUUGGUGCUUUCGAUGCUGAAAAUAGUAUUAUCUCACACCCCAACCUUGACGAAAUCUUCAAACUCUGUGAGAAUAUACUUAAUAUCUGUGUUAAAGCUUCUAUGCUGGAUACAUAUUAAGCUUUUUUACCUUGACCUGUUUAUUCUUUUACCUUAAAACUAUUUGCAGUGUGGGCCAACCAUGGGGAUGAUAUAACAUCCAGUAUGAAGGCUGCAUUUGUGCAAAGCAUAUUUUUGGAGAGUGCAGUAAUAUAAAUACAUACAUAGUAGGAUUCAAAACCCUGAAAAUCAACGAACAUUAUAUAACCAUCAUUGACAAAGAUACUAGGUUUUGGCCAAUUACAUACAUAUGAAGAAUGUGGUCACAGAACAGCCCAGGGGGUUUUCGCUGACAGCUGGAAUGCCCUAAUAUGAUACUACUUGAGCAAUUUUGUUGGUAGUACUAAAUAGUAUCUGUAGUAUUUAAUUAUGAUGGAGAAGGUAGAUCCUUCACAGAAAUUAUAUACAUGGAUGCGGCUUUGCGAAGUUCGAGAUCGGUAUGUUUUUGAGCCUACUGAUGGAUCCUGUGUUUUGUGCUUGGAGAUCAGUUUGCGUGCAUGGGUCUGUGAAACUAAUAGGUUGCUUCUUUUACUCUUUGCGAUGUUCUUCCGUACUUAAAUUAUUUAUUAAGCUAGUUAUAUGUACUUGUGUUCUAUGUUAGAUGAGGUUCCAGAAUGCUGUUCGAUUCGUGUCCCACGAUUCAGAAAAUAUUUGGUGUUAUCAGCAUACUAAAGCUUUUUGCUUAUAAGUGCUAUCAGCAUACUAAAGGUUCUAUGCUCAUUCUUUGCUUGGUCCAGAUCAUAUUAUAAUCCAAUUCAUUGUUGAGGUCUAUAUAGACAUGUCUAGAAUUAAACUGAGCAAUUUUAACUCCCCCUCGAAAGCUGAGUUUGCAGAACGGAACUCUUUCUAAUCAAUUCCAUUUAUGGCAUGGUGUAACUGAAUUUCCCAAUAAGAGUAUAUUUACACAUAGCAGCUAAUUCCCCCAAAAUUUCUUCUUUCUUGAACAGGACAGCAGGUAGACCUUGUUUGAAGGUAAUUUCAGGGGUGGUCAGUUUUAUGGGAAAAUCAAUUUUGGCUUGGUUGUGUCUAAAUCUAUCAGCACAGGUUUGGACAACAGUGUAGGUGCACGUUCAGGGAUGUGGUCUUUUCUGGAGGGAUUAUUUUGAGGUUGUUCAGGGUUGUCAUAAGUAGAACCUGGUUUGGGGGGGAUUCUGUUCCUUUGGUUGAGAUUUUGAUGGUCAAAAUUACUGAAUAUCUUGGGGAAAUUACUUCCAGGUUGAGGUUCAACAGAGUUGGUCUUAAUUUGAGGGUGCUGCUGCUUAUUUUUAGGUUGCCAGACCUGGUGGGGAUAAUGUAUAUGUUGAUUGUUGAACCUAGGAACUUGACUGUUAGUAUGACCCUGUUCCUGCUCUCUAGUAGUUACAGCUCAUGCAAAUUUGUCUCCACAAUACCUUUAGGCAUUAGAUUAAUAGGAGUGUUAGAGUUAAAAACCAUACUUGAAUGCCCCUGAAUUGCUUUAUCUUUUCUUACAUCACUUUGUGUCUCAUGGAGUGUAUUCUUAUGUAGAUAUUGAGGCCCAUGUCAAAAUAAAUGUGUGUCCCUUUUUACAUAAUCAAGGAUUAUGGUUUUUUGUUUUGAAUGUAGAUUAAGAGAGGAUUGGUUUGAUCACUGUUAUCAAAGGCGCGCUUUAAGCGCGCUUAAGCCCUGAAGCGAGGCUCAAAACGUGUUAAGCGCUUCGCCUAGCUUUAUGUGCGCUUCAUGUUGUCAUCAAAGUUCUAAGGCAACUGUUUUCCUUGCCAAUGAGCCUCCUAUGAAGAAGUGAAACUAAUUAAUUGAUAUUCCACUUUAUCAUAAACAAUUUUUAAUUUCUUUGGCCAUAUAUUUGUCAUUUAUGAUUAUAAUUAUUAGACUUGGACUAAAAUAUAUAUUUGUAUUCUUUUCUCCCUUUGCGCCUUUUCUCAUUAAAGCCCACGCUUUAUUUGCGUUUUGCGCUUAAAGCCCCCGCUUUAUUUGCGCUUAAAGCCCCCAUGGUUUCUUAUGCUUCUUUACACCACCGACAUCAAAAUAAAGACAUUCAAACGAUAUGCAUGCUUUCCCAGCAAGUUUCGACUUUAAAAGAGAGGCUUUAAGCUACGUUUUUUUGUUGGAAAUUGUUACUAAAGCUCACGGGAGGCCAAAUGGAUAUCGUAAGGUUUUGAAAGUAAAGAUUUUUGAGAUUUAGUUGGUAGUAUCCAUUUAGGAUAGUGGAGCUGGGAUGUGCGUGGACCCGUUUUCGCCAGAAGCCAUUGGACGAGGUUUAUUCUGUUAACUAUGGAUGGUUUGGUGUGUUAAGAAUAUUAACUGUUCCUUUUACUCUUUAUUCUUUCUGGGAGGACAAAUCAGUUAAAUCUUGAUUACCAAGAACUAGUCAAGGAACCCAGAGUAAGUCAGCAUGUUGUGCCAUUAAAGUCAUUAUCACAACUUUUAUAUUACUUUGUUGUAAAAUGAACUAUAAGAAACAAAUAAGUUAAAAAACAGAAUGUGUCAUUUCAUGUUACAUCUUUAAAGAUUAUGCCAAAACACCUGUAUGCAAUGCAGAGGCAGCAACAAUCUUUUUCUUAUUUGGUUUGAAAAUUGGGAAGAAACUAAAAAGCUAAACCAAAUAGCAGACUGAGUCAGGAAAUAUAUGAGAAAGAGAGAGAGAGAGAUGGGACAAUAACAAUUAAUUGCAUGGUGUUAUUUAGAGACUCUAAAUUUGCAUCCAUGAUAAAGUAAUUAUUUCUCUUUGGUGUUUUGUCAGGAACAGAUAUGCUUGCUUUACCACUCUGUUCUUGUAGUAUCUAAUGGUUGUUUCAACUGACUUUGAUGUUAAGUUUGGAUUUCUUAUUCUUAUGGUAUAGCUACUUUCUAUUGAAUGAGAAAGGUGAGAAAGUUGAACUGUAACUUGGAGUUUUGAAGACAAACUGCAUUGACCGUACAAAUGUAAAACAGAGCAUGCUAGGUUGGAAAUGUCUGAAUUCCAACUGAGAAGGCUUGGUUCUUUCAAUGCUGAAGAAACUUUUAGCUCACACUCCAACCUUGACGAAAGCUUAAACUCUUGUGGGCAAGCCGUGGUACUCUAGCUUUAAAGGGAGUUUUUAUCAGGCACUCGAAUGUGAAGAACAGGGGCUGAUUCUGAUGGAUUUGUUGCAAAAUUUUGUGGAAAACGAGAAAAUUAUCCAGUUGAAAGGAUGUGGUCACAGAACAUCCCAGGGGGUUUUCGCUGACAGCUGGAAUGCCCUAACACGAUACUACUUGAGCAAUUUUGUCGGUAGUACUAAAUAGACUAAAAAUUAUGGCUCUGACCAGCCAUUUUUGUCCAGACCAUCUCCUCUGCCAUUAGAUCCUUUGCUCGAGUCUGGAUGAAGAUGAUCAUCUUAUGGAUUUCGUUUUACAGACUAAAAAUUAUGGCUCUGACCAGCCAUUUUUUGUCCAGACCGUCUCCUCUGCCAUUAGAUCCUUGGCUCGAGACCAGUUUUCAAGAUGUUAUUCUUACAUCUCUGAAAAUGGGAUUGGAACUUCUGUUGAACAUGAAGUUGUUUUCAAGUAUAAUUUUGGAAAGAACGGAACAUAGUCUCUUGGUCCCUGCAAUAAAUUAUUUGGAAAAAGAGGACUGCUUGUUCCCAAAUCCUGCAAAGUUUGAUCUCAAUUUUUAUGCUUUUUCUAGAAAGGAUAUAGCCAGUAUAGGGGGACAUGAUCCAUGGGAUGUUUUGGUUCAGGUUCUUCUGAAUUCUAUUAUGAUGGAAAUGAUUUGAUACAUGUAUUCUCGUGGUGAAGAGAAUGGAUGGGAACUCACAUAAAUGAUUUGAUACAUGUAUUAUGAUGGAAAUGAUUUGAUACAUGUCAAGAUUAUUUGAUAACACGGGCAAUGCUCCCCUCUAGGGUGGAUGGGAACUCACAUAAAUGGAUUGAUGUUGGAAAUAGAGGCAAAACAGGUAAGCUACAGGGAAGAAGAUGAGUAGAAGAAGCCAUUGCUUUUCGAUUUUACCUAGAGAAAAAGAAGUUCUUUGCCACGAGUGAGUCUACAAGAAAGGCAGCAGGAAAUAACAAUAUUAAGAUUGUUCACGAUGUGCCACUCAUGCCUGGUAAUUUGUGCUUGAGUGCUUUGACCAUGCUUUUGCAGGUCAUUCCUGAUGAAAUUGGUUACCAAUUACUACACGACUACACUGACCAAAUUUAAAACGUGGGAUGGAUCUGCAACAUUUAUUUUCAAGCUUCAAGAUUAUUUACCAGAUCAGUCUUAGAAGGUUGAGUCUAGCAGAAACCCGGGAACAACCUCUCUACCUCGAAGGUUGGGGUAUGGUCUGAGUACAUUCUAUCUCCAGACUCCACUUGUGGGAUUACACUGGUGUUUGCUGCUCUUCAAGGUUGUGUCUAAGAAACAGUUGCUUUGGAACUCAACCUUAGUAUACUUUUACUACUCAAGCGGGCUCGAUUUAGACUUGAACUUGAAAAGUCACAAUUGUAUUGGUCGUGACAGACGAAGCUUGAAAUCAUCCCUGCAGUGCAGAUAUCUGGUAUGCGAUCAUCACAUUGAAAGAUAAUCUGGAUCUGGAGCACGAUACACGUAUACAGAUUUAAUAAAGAAUUGUAUGUACCAAAUGUAAUAUUAGCUAGAAUGUAAAGAAAUGCGAAGAUAAUGAUUGUAACAUCAUUUAACUGUUGAGAUGAUUAAAUUUGUAUGUUCCACCUCUGACCCUCUUUAUUUUUGACCCAUUAAAGAGAUUGUAUGAUGUUUCAUUAAAA